GAUAUCGAUUACUGCAUUGUUGGGUUUGGAGCUUGCAAGAAARGCAUUUCAUUGUACUUGUGCACGUGACAUUUAAACCUGAAACUUUAGUUGAGCGUUCCUCAGCUACAUUUCUAGUUGAACAAGCAAGGCAUAUUGUUUUGUUUUCACACGGUUGACUGGCCUGCCCUGCUGAUCCUGAGAAAUGUGUGGGGGUCCCGUGUGGUUGUUGAUAGAUCAUUGAGCUUGCAACGCCAGGAACUUGGACAGGAUGAGGGAAGGAGCUUUUGAGAUCUCAGGUCUCUGCGGCGUGUCAUUGCAGAAGGAUGGACGAGGGUGCCUGCCCCCAUCCAGGAUCCUCAUGAUGGACUUAAGAGUGGCCAGCCAUCUGGCUUAAAAAGCCUGAGUCUGUCAUGGGCAGAGGGGUGUGAGGUAUUCAGGUUUAGGAUGUAUUUCCUGCUAUUUUCCCUGGGCCAGCCACUGGUCAUGGUCCGCCAGGACCCUUCCCACCUCCUGCUGUGGGCCUGAAGAUACCGKGCAGCGGAGGACAUAUGGUGAGAGACCAGAUCCGUCAAACAACGAUGAGAAACAGCAUAGACUAGAACUUUUACAUCAAUCAUUCAUGUCUGUUCUCUAAAAAGAUUUCAGGCGUACCUCAUGGCAGAGAUCCCACAUUCCAAACCAAAGAUUGCAUUUCUGGUCCAAGUGUAGCAAAGGGAUCAGGGCAUCUGCGACCUUGCUCUCUCUUCGCCACACCAAAACAACUUGCACUCGCAGAGUUACCACCACUCUGUAGCUGUUGCUGCUGGCUUUUGCCCUAAUCUACCAUCUGUUAGUCUUCAGCAGGAAUGUUCCAUUGAGGGUUCUUCGGCAUACCAAAAACAUUUUAGCAAUGAAAGUUGAAUUUUUUGUUAGUCAUUUCACUAUACUGUAAGGAGUCAUUAUAAUGAUAUUUUUUAAUUUAACCCUAACUGACUUGCCUAGUUAAAUAAAUUCUUAUUUACAAUGACA